rnacentral:rRNA from 1 species
AUUGAACGCUGGCGGCAUGCCUUACACAUGCAAGUCGAACGGCAGCACGGGAGCAAUCCUGGUGGCGAGUGGCGAACGGGUGAGUAAAGUAUCGGAACGUGCCCAGUCGCGGGGGAUAACGUAGCGAAAGUUACGCUAAUACCGCAUACGAUCUAUGGAUGAAAGCGGGGGAUCGCAAGACCUCGCGCGAUUGGAGCGGCCGAGAUCAGAUUAGGUAGUUGGUGGGGUAAAGGCUCACCAAGCCGACGAUCUGUAGCUGGUCUGAGAGGACGACCAGCCACACUGGGACUGAGACACGGCCCAGACUCCUACGGGAGGCAGCAGUGGGGAAUUUUGGACAAUGGGCGAAAGCCUGAUCCAGCCAUGCCGCGUGCAGGAUGAAGGCCUUCGGGUUGUAAACUGCUUUUGUACGGAACGAAAAGGUUUGGCCUAAUAAGCUGAGCUCAUGACGGUACCGUAAGAAUAAGCACCGGCUAACUACGUGCCAGCCGCCGCGGUAA